rnacentral:rRNA from 1 species
UGCGUAGGCGGGCUAAUAAGUCAGUGGUGAAAUCUCUCGGCUCAACCGGGAAACUGCCAUUGAUACUGUUAGUCUUUAGUUCGGUUGAGGUAGGCGGAAUGUGUAAUGUAGCGGUGAAAUGCUUAGAUAUUACACAGAACACCAAUUGCGUAGGCAGCUUACUAGACCGACACUGACGCUGAGGCACGAAAGCGUGGGGAGCGAACAGGAUUAGAUACCCUGGUAGUCC